GAAAAAUAUUUAAUACAUUUAACGAACAAAAAACAUUUUAAAGACAUAUAGGUCGAGUCACGUUUAGUAUGCCAAAAUGGAAAAACAACUGCAUUGAACGUCAUAAAUGUCAAUUAAAGUAAUGUUGUGGUUAAGGUAACUACCAGGGUAUCAUAAUUAUGUAGGACUUUAAUGAAUUUCAUGUCUUGAAAUGUUUAAGUUAAUAGUAACCCCAAC
rnacentral:lncRNA from 1 species